rnacentral:rRNA from 1 species
UACGUAGGGUGCGAGCGUUAAUCGGAAUUACUGGGCGUAAAGCGUGCGCAGGCGGUUGGUUAAGUCAGAUGUGAAAGCCCCGGGCUCAACCUGGGAACUGCAUUUGUGACUGCAAGGCUGGAGUGCGGCAGAGGGGGAUGGAAUUCCGCGUGUAGCAGUGAAAUGCGUAGAUAUGCGGAGGAACACCGAUGGCGAAGGCAAUCCCCUGGGC